rnacentral:misc_RNA from 1 species
ACAAGGUUUCUGUAGGUGAACCUGCAGAAGGAUCAUUAGUGAAGAUUUGGGCAGGCCAUACGGACGCCAAAAAGUGUCCCUGGCCGCCUACACCCACUAUACAUCCACAAACCCGUGUGCACUGUCUUGGAGAAAGGCUUCAGAGAAGUUUUUUGUGGCCUCUCUUGGGGUCUUUCUUCGCUACAAACUCGAAUGGUUAGUAUGAACGUGGAACUUGGUUGGACCGUCACUGGCCAACAAACUAUACACAACUUUCGACAACGGAUCUCUUGGUUCUCCCAUCGAUGAAGAACGCAGCGAA